rnacentral:rRNA from 1 species
UACGGAGGGAGCGAACGUUGUUCGGAUUCACUGGGCGUAAAGGGCGUGUAGGCGGUCUGGCAAGUCAGGGGUGAAAUGCCACGGCUCAACCGUGGAAUUGCCUUUGAAACUGCCGGACUUGAGGCCGUGAGAGGAGACUGGAAUUCCCAGUGUAGCGGUGAAAUGCAUAGAUAUUGGGAAGAACACCAGUGGCGAAGGCGAGUCUCUGGCACGGUUCUGACGCUGAGGCGCGAAAGCUAGGGGAGCAAAC